UGAUCAAAUCUAACCCAGCAGCUUGAGGCGCAGCCGACUGUCUCCGACGGGAACCUCUAAAUGAAGGUUAUCCAACAACAAAGGCAACACGGGAAGAGAAUAACGUCAUGGAUUUGUUUUCAUUAUUUAAUGCGAGCCAGAGCCGAGCUCAGAGUAUUGAACCUGAACCUGGACCUGGACCUGGACCUGGACCUGGAUUUGGAUCUGACCAACCUUCUGCAAAAAGG